GUCUCUGUAGCACAAUGGAUAGCGCGUUGGACUUCUAAUUCAAAGAUUGGUUUCAGAUCCCACCUGGGAUG